UACAGAGGUCUCAAGCGUUGUUCGGAUUCAUUGGGCGUAAAGGGUGCGUAGGUGGUGAGGUAAGUCGGAUGUGAAAUCUCCGAGCUCAACUCGGAAACUGCAUUGGAAACUACCUUGCUAGAGGGUUGGAGGGGGGACUGGAAUACUUGGUGUAGCAGUGAAAUGCGUAGAUAUCAAGUGGAACACCAGUGGCGAAGGCGAGUCCCUGGACAACUCCUGACACUGAGGCACGAAAGCUAGGGGAGCAAACAGG
rnacentral:rRNA from 1 species